ACUGAAGAGGAAAACUUUUUUUUUUCUUUUUUCUUUGUAUUAAUCAGUGAACUCUUUACUUAGUGUAGGGUUAAUUUUAAAAGUAUAAAAAUUAUCUUAAAAAUUGAUCUCUGUAAAAAAUAAUCUGAAAAAAUUGAUCAUAAAAAAUAAGAAUGGGAAAGGAAGAAGGAGGAGAAAGAAGGGUGAGAGUAUGGGUGGGCAGGAGGCAGAGUGUGGGAAGAAUUCUCAUGUUCCCAAAUCUGUAUGUAUUAAAUGCAUGAAGUUGCAUUCCCUAAAUAAAAUAAAAAAUCUUUUAUCUAAGGAGUACAAAUUUCAUAAGUAUAAUGAAUCUUCUCUUUUUUUUGUUAUUUAUAUUAUUUUUUAUUCUUUUAUUUCUUUUUUUUUAACUUUUAUUUAAUGAAUAUAAAUUUCCAAAGUACGGCUUAUGGAUUACAAUGGCUUCCCCCCAUAUCGUCUCUCCCACCCGCAUCCCUCCCCUUUACCACUCCCUCUCCCCUUCCAUUCACAUGAGGAUUCAUUUUCGAUUCUCUUUAUAUACAGAAGAUCAGUUUAGCAUACAUUAAGUAAAGAUUUCAACAGUUUGCUCCCACACAAACAUAAAGUGAAAAAUAAUAGAUGAUUUUUUAAAUGAUGAUGAAAUCAGAUCAGACCUAUUGUCAUGUUUAAUCCCAGUGAGAGUCAAGUUGGGAAUUGAUAAUUUCUUCUUCUUCUUUUUUUUUUUUUAACAGAAGAUCAGUUUAGUAUACAUUAAGUAAAGAUUUCAACAGUUUGCACCCCCAUAGAAACACAAAGUGAAAUAUACUGUUUGAGUACUCAUUAUAGCGUUAAGUCUCAAUGUAUAGCACAUUAAGGACAGAGAUCCUACAUGAGGAGUAAGUGCACAGUGACUCCUGUUGUUGGCUUUACAAAUUGACACUCCUGUUUAUGGCAUCAGUAAUCUCCCUAUGCUCCAGUCUUGAGUUUCCAAGGCUAUGGAAGCCCCUUGAGUUCUCUGACUCUUAUCUUGUUUAGACAAGGUCAUAUUCAAAGUGGAGGUUCUCUCCUCCCUUCAGAGAAAGGUACCUCCUUCUUUGAAGACCUGUUCUUUCCACUGGGAUCUCCCUCACAGAGAUCUUUCAUUUAGGGUUUUUGUUUGUUUGUUUGUUUGUUUUGCCAGAGUGUCUUGGCUUUCCAUGCCUGAAAUACUCUCAUGGGCUUUUCAGCCAGAUCCAAAUGCCUUUAGGGCUGAUUCUGAGGCCAGAGUGCUG
rnacentral:lncRNA from 1 species